AGAGCGAACGCUGGCGGCAGGCCUAAUACAUGCAAGUCGAGCGCCCUUUCGGGGGAGCGGCGGACGGGUGAGUAACGCGUGGGAAUGUGCCCUUUGGUACGGAACAACACAGGGAAACUUGUGCUAAUACCGUAUGUGCCCUUCGGGGGAAAGAUUUAUCGCCAUUGGAGCAGCCCGCGUUGGAUUAGGUAGUUGGUGAGGUAAAGGCUCACCAAGCCUACGAUCCAUAGCUGGUCUGAGAGGAUGAUCAGCCACACUGGGACUGAGACACGGCCCAGACUCCUACGGGAGGCAGCAGUAGGGAAUCUUGCGCAAUGGGCGAAAGCCUGACGCAGCCAUGCCGCGUGAAUGAUGAAGGUCUUAGGAUUGUAAAAUUCUUUCACCGGGAAGAUAAUGACGGUACCGGAGAAGAAGCCCGGCUAACUUCGUGCCAGCAGCCGC
rnacentral:rRNA from 1 species